rnacentral:rRNA from 1 species
GCAGUCGCAGGGUACAUGAGGAAAGCUUGCUUUCCUUGAUGACGACUGGCGCACGGGUGAGUAACGCGCAUCCAACCUUCCCAUAACUACGGGAUAACCCGUUGAAAGACGGCCUAAUACCGUAUGACAUCGUUUGCUGACAUCAAAUAACGAUUAAAGGUUUAGCGGUUAUGGAUGGGGAUGCGUCUGAUUAGCUUGUUGGCGGGGUAACGGCCCACCAAGGCUACGAUCAGUAGGGGUUCUGAGAGGAAGGUCCCCCACAUUGGAACUGAGACACGGUCCAAACUCCUACGGGAGGCAGCAGUGAGGAGUAUUGGUCAAUGGGCGAGAGCCUGAACCAGCCAAGUAGCGUGCAGGAUGACGGCCCUAUGGGUUGUAAACUGCUUUUAUGUGGGGAUAAAGUGCGUGACGUGUCAUGCAUUGCAGGUACCACAUGAAUAAGGACCGGCUAAUUCCGUGCCAGCAGCCGCGGUAAUACGGGAGGUCCGGGCGUUAUCCGGAUUUAUUGGGUUUAAAGGGAGCGUAGGCUGUCUAUUAAGCGUGUUGUGAAAUUUACCGGCUCAACCGGUGGCUUGCAGCGCGAACUGGUCGACUUGAGUAUGCAGGAAGUAGGCGGAAUUCAUGGUGUAGCGGUGAAAUGCUUAGAUAUCAUGACGAACUCCG